rnacentral:rRNA from 1 species
CCUACGGGAGGCUGCAGUGAGGAAUAUUGGUCAAUGGACGAGAGUCUGAACCAGCCAAGUAGCGUGAAGGAUGACUGCCCUAUGGGUUGUAAACUUCUUUUAUAUGGGAAUAAAACGUUCCACGUGUGGGAUUUUGUAUGUACCAUGUGAAUAAGUAUCGGCUAACUCCGUGCCAGCAGCCGCGGUAAUACGGAGGAUCCGAGCGUUAUCCGGAUUUAUUGGGUUUAAAGGGAGCGUAGGUGGAUUUUUAAGUCAGGUGUGAAAGUUUGCGGCUCAACCGUAAAAUUGCAGUUGAAACUGGCAGUCUUGAGUACAGUAGAGGUGGGCGGAAUUCGUGGUGUAGCGGUGAAAUGCUUAGAUAUCACGAAGAACUCCGAUUGCGAAGGCAGUUCACUGGACUGCAACUGACACUGAGGCUCGAAAGUGUGGGUAUCAAACAGGAUUAGAUACCCUAGUAGUC